rnacentral:tRNA from 1 species
GUGGUUAAGGCCGAGUGGUUAAGGCGACUGACUCGAAAUCAGUUUCCAUCUUACAGCGUUGGUUUGAACCCUACUAUCUGCG